UUUUAGACAUUAAGCCCUGUUUGUGUGACUUCUGGGGUGAAUUAGACAUGUUCUCAUCACAAUUUUGACAUUUGGUGCUGAACGGAGUAUUUUGGUAUUCAAUACUGCAGCCCCCCCACCUGUACAUUGACUCCAAUGGUGCACUCAAGCAAUCGAUCACAAAAUAGCAUUAAACUUUCGUUUGAAAAGACAUGGAACUCACCGUGUGGUCAGUGGUGAACAGCGAUAAAUUGACCCAAAAAUCGCCACGAAAUAUGCCUUCAAACCGUUGUUUAGCAGUUGAUGGAACUACUUUUUCCCAGACGUUGAAUAAUAGCAGCUAGACAUCCAGCCAGUAGGUGGCGAUAAUGAGGUAUUUUUGUGAGGACUAGAGAGAAGAAGAAUAUUGCUGUCUUUGAGGAAGCUAGUAGCUACUGCUUCACACACUCGUUUUGGCUGGCAAACACCAUCUAAUCUUUUCAUUUCAACCUCUUUUUUUGUUAGCAAGGACAAUAAAGACAAAAGGACAGAAGCAGCAUUUAUGUAUUUUGUUAUGUAAUUCGGUAGAAUAGGAGUUAUUGAUCACAGCGCGAAUGGAGAACCUGAACGUAUUUCUGUUGAUGCCUGCCUGUGUAACUGGUCGGGAUGUAAGCAAAAAACGUGGAUUAUGUGCUUUGAUCAAGAGAACUUCUAAGUGCCAAAAAUCAACGGGAAAAGACGCCCGAGAUCCAGAGGCGAGGGAUUGGAUUGUCAGAAAGCAGAGGCACUAUCCCUCCUUCCCUAGACCGUUCUAGGCUACACAAGAUCCAGAGAAGGGAAGAUUUCUACAACCGAAGAAGAUUCAUGAUCCAGUUUCCACCAACCCAUCGUUCUCCAUCUGGUGUUCUCCAUCUGGCGAAAGAUGAUCCUAUCUGUAAACAAGUUUUCCACUGUUCUUUGUAAAAUAUACAUCACAAUAAUAGAAGAAAAAUGCAUCACAAUGUGUUGAAAUAAAUUAUAUUUUA